AUUAAACGCUGGCGGCAUGCCUUACACAUGCAAGUCGAACGGCAGCACGGGGUGGUAACACUCUGGUGGCGAGUGGCGGACGGGUGAGUAAAGCAUCGGAACGUGCCCUGGAAUGGGGGAUAACGUAGCGAAAGUUACGCUAAUACCGCAUAUUCUGUGAGCAGGAAAGCAGGGGAUCGCAAGACCUUGCGUUCGAGGAGCGGCCGAUGUCGGAUUAGCUAGUUGGUGGGGUAAAGGCCUACCAAGGCGACGAUCCGUAGCGGGUCUGAGAGGAUGAUCCGCCACACUGGGACUGAGACACGGCCCAGACUCCUACGGGAGGCAGCAGUGGGGAAUUUUGGACAAUGGAGGGAACUCUGAACCAGCCAUCCCGCGUGCAGGAUGAAGGGGCUCUGCCCUGUAAACUGCUUUUGAAUGGGACGAAAAAGCCUCACUUGUGAGGAACUGACGGUACCAUUAGAAUAAGCACCGGCUAACUCCGUGCCAGCAGCCGCGGUAAU
rnacentral:rRNA from 1 species